UCUCUGGUAGUAUAUCGGUUAGUACACGCGCCUGUCAUUCCCCAUAUGUAACAUCUCGCGCGAAAGCUGGGUUCGACUCCCAGCCAGAGAG